rnacentral:rRNA from 1 species
UACGUAGGGGGCGAGCGUUGUCCGAAGUUACUGGGCGUAAAGCGCGCGUAGGCGGUCCAUUUAGUCCGGGGUGAAAGGUUCAGCGCUCAACGUGAACAGUGCCUUGGAUACUGGUGGACUUGAGUAUCGGAGAGGGAAGCGGAAUUCCGGGUGUAGCGGUGAAAUGCGUAGAUAUCCGGAGGAACACCGAUGGCGAAGGCAGCUUCCUGACCGGUAACUGACGCUGAGGUGCGAAAGCGUGGGGAGCGAACGGG